CCUACGGGAGGCAGCAGUGGGGAAUAUUGCACAAUGGGGGAAACCCUGAUGCAGCGACGCCGCGUGAGUGAAGAAGUAUUUCGGUAUGUAAAGCUCUAUCAGCAGGGAAGAAAAUGACGGUACCUGAGUAAGAAGACCCGGCUAACGACGUGCCAGCAGCCGCGGUAAUCCGUAGGGGGCAAGCGUUAUCCGGAUUUACUGGGUGUACAGGGAGCGUAGACGGCAGGACAAGUCUGGAGUGAAAUGCCGGGGCUUACCCCCGGAACGGCUUUGGAAACUGUGCAGCUAGAGUGCAGGAGAGGUAAGUGGACUUCCUAGUGUAGCGGUGAAAUGCGUAGAUAUUAGGCGGAACACCAGUGGCGAAGGCGUCUUACUGGACUGUAACUGACGUUGAUGCUCGAAAGCGUGGGGAGCAAACAGGAUUAGAUACCCCAGUAGUC
rnacentral:rRNA from 1 species